GACGUAGGGCGCGAGCGUUGUCCGGAAUCAUUGGGCGUAAAGCGCGCGUAGGCGGCCCUGUAAGUCCGCUGUGAAAAGUCAAAGGCUCAACCUUUGAAUGCCGGUGGAUACUGCAGGGCUAGAGUCCGGAAGAGGCAAGUGGAAUUCCUGGUGUAGCGGUGGAAUGCGCAGAUAUCAGGAGGAACACCAACGGCGAAGGCAGCUUGCUGGGACGGUACUGACGCUAAGGCGCGAAAGCGUGGGGAGCGAACAGG
rnacentral:rRNA from 1 species